UUGGAGGGCAAGUCUGGUGCCAGCAGCCGCGGUAAUUCCAGCUCCAAUAGCAUAUAUUAAAGUUGCUGCAGUUAAAAAGCUCGUAGUUGAAUUUCGGGACCAUCAUGUUGGUCGUGCCUCGGUACGUACUGGCAUUGUUGGUUUCUCCCUUCUGACGAACCAUGAUGUCAUUUAUUUGGUGUUGUGGGAAAUCAGGACUGUUACUUUGAAAAAACUAGAGUGUUUAAAGCAGGCUCACGCUUGAAUACAUUAGCAUGGAAUAAUGAAAUAGGACGUUUGAUUCUAUUUUGUUGGUUUCUAGGAUCGAUGUAAUGAUUAAUAGGGAUAGUUGGGGGCAUUAGUAUUCAAUUGUCAGAGGUGAAAUUCUUGGAUUUAUUGAAGACUAACUACUGCGAAAGCAUUUGCCAAGGAUGUUUUCAUUAAUCAAGAACGAAAGUUAGGGGAUCGAAGACGAUCAGAUACCGUCGUAGUCUUAACCAUAAACUAUGCCGACUAGGGAUCGGAUGAUGUUAAUUUUUUAAUGGCUCAUUCGGCGCCUUACGGGAAACCAAAGUGUUUGGGUUC
rnacentral:rRNA from 1 species